CCAAGGCGACACUCUGUUCUGCUCAGGACUCUGGACUGGGAACUACUGGGAACUAGGCCCUCCCCGUCCAUCUUCUGGAUGUUUAUGUGUCCCUGUUUUUAUGACGCUCUCUUAAUUGGGCUGUUGCAGCCAUCUCUGUGCGAUGUUUUGAGCACCUGAUUGGGUGACAUUUUUGCUGUUUGUCUGCCGUUUCUCUCUGCAAGUUGACAAUCACACAUUUAUUUAUUUUUACCUUUGCUUACCAUAUAAUUGAUAAAUCCACUCAUUUAAAAUGCUGUCAGAGGUCAUCCUCCAGAACUUACAGAGUAGGGGGAUACUAUAGAACAGGAGUGCACACUAGUGAUUUCUGGUGCUGCUUCUGUCAUCCAAAACACGUGUUCCUUUGUUUUCCAGUUUUGUCUCCGACAGUCCGUGGCAGAAGGCUAGAGGUCACAGAGAGAACAGUGGAGGCUGCAGACUUCAGAGGAGGAUGAAAGUCAAAUUGGGUGAUGCAGAAGAACAUGAUACGUGAGGCGGAGGCUGUUCACCCCACGACACACGGGAAGCAGCGAGAGAAAACGAGAAGAGGGAAGAUAUGCAACCUCCAGUGACCUACUUCCUCUGUCUAGGUCGUGUCUCCUACUUUUUGUCACCUCCCAAUGAGGCCACCAUGUGAAUCUAUUUGCGAUUAAUGUAUUGAUAAGAUCCAAUCAUUUUCGAAAGGUCUUAUCAAUUGACAGCCACACCCCCAAUAUGUGAGUCCCGGGGGACGUUACCUAAUAAAUCAUAAGACACAUUG